rnacentral:rRNA from 1 species
UACGGGGGGGGUAAGCGUUGUUCGGAAUUACUGGGCGUAAAGGGCUCGUAGGCGGCCAACUAAGUCAGACGUGAAAUCCCUCAGCUUAACUGGGGAACUGCGUCUGAUACUGGAUGGCUUGGAUUCGGGAGAGGAAUGCGGAAUUCCAGGUGUAGCGGUGAAAUGCGUAGAUAUCUGGAGGAACACCGGUGGCGAAGGCGGCAUUCUGGACCGAUAUUGACGCUGAGGAGCGAAAGCCAGGGGAGCAAAGC